GACGAACGCUGGCGGCGUGCUUAACACAUGCAAGUCGAACGGAAAGACCCUGCUUUUGUGGGGUGCUCGAGUGGCGAACGGGUGAGUAACACGUGAGUAACCUGCCCUUGACUUUGGGAUAACUUCAGGAAACUGGGGCUAAUACCGGAUAGGAGCCCCUGCUGCAUGGUGGGGGUUGGAAAGUUUCGGCGGUUGGGGAUGGACUCGCGGCUUAUCAGCUUGUUGGUGGGGUAGUGGCUUACCAAGGCUUUGACGGGUAGCCGGCCUGGGAGGGUGACCGGCCACAUAGGGACUGGGAUACGGCCCAGGCUGCUACGGGAGGCAGCAGUGGGGAAUAGUGCACAAUGGGCGGAAGCCUGAUGCAGCAACGCCGCGUGCGGGAUGACGGCCUUCGGGUUGUAAACCGCUUUCGCCUGUGACGAAGCGUGAGUGACGGUAAUGGGUAAAGAAGCACCGGCUAACUACGU
rnacentral:rRNA from 1 species